UACGUAGGGUGCGAGCGUUGUCCGGAAUUACUGGGCGUAAAGAGCUCGUAGGUGGUUUGUCGCGUUGUUCGUGAAAUUCCCUGGCUUAACUGGGGGCGUGCGGGCGAUACGGGCAGACUGGAGUACUGCAGGGGAGACUGGAAUUCCUGGUGUAGCGGUGGAAUGCGCAGAUAUCAGGAGGAACACCGGUGGCGAAGGCGGGUCUCUGGGCAGUAACUGACGCUGAGGAGCGAAAGCGUGGGGAGCAAACAGG
rnacentral:rRNA from 1 species